rnacentral:lncRNA from 1 species
AAAUAAAAUUCGAAAUUAUAAUUUGUUUGUGAGUUAGAACUGUGGUAAAUACAUCAUCACAGCCAUUAAUGGCUUCAAAUAAACUAUUGUAAUGAAGUCAUUCCUUUUCUCGUAUGUACCCUGCCAAAGUAUUAAAUUCUUUCUAUCAAAUUUUAAUAUAUUUUGAGUGGAAUAACUCUUAUUAGAUUAUAUUAGGGUUGGUUUAGCUGGUUAAAGGGAGGACAUGUAUCCUUUUGGUCACAGGUUCGACUCCCAAAGGGUGGAUUAACGCUAUUGCGUGAUCCGAAGGUAGCGGUUGCGGGUUCUUAGGUUAAAAAAAAUAAA